CUCAGCCCCUACCCCCAAGAGAGACAAGGUAAAAGAACAAGGUUUUGGUGAAUGUGAGGCAAAAAUGCCAUUCUCUGGAUGUGCUCAUAGGACAGAUUAAAUACUACUAUUCCAAUUGCUGAACAGAGGAACUAGAAACAAAGAACAUCUAAAAUGAGCAAAACAGAUAAGCUUUGUAUAGGAGAUCCCCAGAGCCAACCAAAGCUUGGGUAAAAGGAGAUACUACCUGGCUCUGCCAGGUAUUCAAUAUAGAAGUCCUCAGACUCUCUCCUCUCUGCUCAUAGACCACCCUCAGUUUCUCCCAAUUGAAGUGUGUAAGAAUGAACUGGGGCCUACCUUGCCUCCAUUGGCCUUGAACCUUCAGGGUCCCGGUUUCUUCUGCAUGUAGAUCAUUUCCUAGGAACUGCUCUGCCUCCUGAGCCCCAGAUACAGUAUUUCUUGGGAUGAUCAACGUUCAUACAGAUCAGCACUGCUCCUGCCACCAAAAU
rnacentral:lncRNA from 1 species